AACGAACGCUGGCGGCAGGCUUAACACAUGCAAGUCGAACGCGUGUAGCAAUACACGAGUGGCGCACGGGUGCGUAACGCGUGGGAACCUUCCUCGUAGUUCGGAAUAACCCAGGGAAACUUGGGCUAAUACCGGAUACCUCCUUCGGGAGAAAGAUUUAUCGCUAUGAGAUGGGCCCGCGUCAGAUUAGGUAGUUGGUCGGGUAACGGCCUACCAAGCCGACGAUCUGUAGCUGGUCUGAGAGGAUGACCAGCCACACUGGGACUGAGACACGGCCCAGACUCCUACGGGAGGCAGCAGUGGGAAUAUUGGACAAUGGGGGCAACCCUGAUCCAGCCAUGCCGCGUGAGUGAAGAAGGCCUGCGGGUUGUAAAGCUCUUUCGACGGGGACGAUGAUGACGGUACCCGUAUAAGAAGCCCCGGCUAACUUCGUGCCAGCAGCCGCAGUAA
rnacentral:rRNA from 1 species